rnacentral:lncRNA from 1 species
UGAGCUGCAGAGUCCAGAUUUAAACCUUCUGGCUCCUGGUCUAGUGCUCUUUCUAGUAAACGAGACUGCUCCCGCUGUGCAGCACUGGGAAAGCUGUGGAAACCAGGGCGCUGUGCCGAACAGAGGUCACACACGAGCCCAGAAGGCCCCCUCCUUUCGGCAUGAGUCCUUCCUCUCCUGGAAGCAUUUGCAAAGGACAGGACGGCCCCUUCCAGCAGCAUCCCUGGCAUGGAACCCAUCAGUCUCCUUCUGUGAUUUACCGACUGCCUCUUAGCUGUGACCAGCGGAGCUCCCAGUCCAGGGAGUGGCUGGAUGUCAAACCCAGCUCCUUGGAAGUGCUCAGCAGAUCACAGAUUCCAAAGCCCUUUAUUGAGCGCUCUGCUCUCCAGCCUGUGGACUAACAUCUCUUUCCAAGUGUGGCAUCCAGACUGGAACCCAGAACUCCCACCAUGACCCUGCCAGUGUGGAGCAGAACGCACCUCCCUAACUUUGGACUGUAUGCCUCUGCCCGUGCCACCCUAAGGAGCACCAGCCUGCCUGUUGGCGCCUUCACGUUGCAGGCUGAUAUUGAGCUUGUUAUCAGUUCAAACUCUAAAUCUUCCCUUAUCUUAUUGCAACAUAGACCUCCUCACCUAUGUCCCUGCGAAUUUGCUUUUUGGACUCAAGGAUGAGACCUGUUUCUAUCAAGGAUGGAAAAUAUGUGCAAUGCCCGUGCCCAUGGACCUUGCUUACAUCCAUGGACCCUCUUAUUUCCACCUUUUCCUCUGAGCCUGAAUAGGCCUCAGAAUCCUUCUCAACAUAAUGCUUCAGUUAGUCAUUACCAGUCGUCUCUCAGAGUUGGUACACAAGGACAAACGCAAUAGCCUUUCUUAUUUUUCAUUGAUUCACAUUAUAUUUUAUAUUUAACCCAUCAUGGCAAAGGAUAAAUCAAGGCAUACUGAGGAUAGAAAACUGGUAUAAUGAUCAACGUAAGAGAGCUUGAUAAAAUUAAUACCACAUGUGUUUAGAGAAUUAGAAGGUUGGUGGCAGCAAAGGUGCGAUAGUUUUUAUUAUUCAAAAAGUCUUCAUUUUCUUUAACACCGAAGGCCUUAUUUUGUGAACAGGUUGUGCCAGAAACCUAAGCAUUUGCAGAAAUCAUGAUUGCAUCUCCCCUCAGUGAUUUAGCUUCUUUCUACUGCCU